CUGAGGGGAAAUUCAAUAGAUGUCUUCAAAUGUUUAAAGGGCUGCCAAAAGGAAGAAGGUCCUAUGUUGCUGCACAGGAAAUAAACAGGGAGUUCUAGAAUAACAGCUAGCAUUUCUGAGUGCUUAAUGUAAGGCAAGGUACUGUGCAAGACAUUUUCCAUGAAGUAUUUACUGACCCAGUGGAUGAUAUUACCUUACAUUUUGCAGAGGAGAAAGCAGGUUUAAAAAUCUGGCCAGGUACAAUGGUGCACGCCUCCCAGUGGCUUGGGAGGACAGGAGGCUGAAGCAGAAAGAUUGCAAGUUCAAAGCCAGCCUCAGCAACUUAGCAAGGCUCUAAGCAACUUAACAAGACCCUGUCUCAAAAAUUUAAAAAGGGUGGGAAUGUGGCUCAGUGGUUAAGACCCUCUUAAGCACCCUGAUACCAUAAAUAAAAUAAAUAGAUUAGACAGAUAGAUAGAUAGAUCAAUCUGUCCAGGGUUCCACAGCUAGUAAGUAAUGGGGUCAAGAAUCUAUUCAGUCUUAACUCCAGACUUGUUAUAAAAAAGUUCUGAUAGAGCCAUCCAACGAUGGGAUAACCAAUACCUGGCAGUAAAUAAUACAGAAGAAAAUAUCCUCACAUCCUGUUGCUUUCCCAUCUUUAUGAGUGGGCUGAGACCAGAAUACCACAUCUGACCCUCUGUCUCCCCUAGAAAGCAAUUAUAGAUUUCAAGUCCAGGAAGUGUAGAUAAUCUCUCCCCUCCCUGAAGCUCCACCCUGUAAGACACUUCCUCUAACAAAUGGCCAUCCCUUCCUGUUAGCCGCUUACUACUUUUCACCACCAGGUGGCACCUGGGAAGCAGAAUUGUCAGUGGGUGGAGACCCACCCUGUUUGUGCUGUUACCUUCAUUUUGGCUGCCAAUUCGGUGGUUCCUGGUUCCCAGUUGGGACAAAAACCUUUUUGAGGAUGAGGUUAUGUCUUAAGUAGGAGGGUCUGAUAAUCUGGAUGGGGUGAAGAAGGGCAGAAGUUUUGGAAAGGAGCUUCCACAGGUCACCUUGCCCAUUUCUCCAGCCUUUGGAAUCCCAUCCCUAACAGCAAAUUUCAUUUUCUAGGGAGUCAUCUUCUAAGGAGGUUUAUUCAUUUCCUAGCUGUAGUUCUGCUUCAUCAAUUCAAAGCACAUUCCCUCCUCCAAGCUGCUUGUUUCCCUUUUCUACCUGUUCAUCUCUGGGAAUAUGGAGAACAUGGGCAUCAGAUAGAAAAUUAUUCUUUAUACCGUUCAGCACACAGAGUAAAGCAGUCUAGAUAUUGGCAGCCCCAGGGAAGUACAGAAAGGGAAGUGAGAAAAGAUUAAGGGAGGGAAGCUUUAAGUAGCUUUGAUGAAACAGCCUGAUGAAAUCUAUGCCCUGCAGAGCCAGAUAAAAUUUUCCAGCUGCAGAUCUCGUCUCUCCCCAAUAAACAACUCUAGUUCCCCUGCUGCAUCAGACUAAAUUACACAAGACCAUAUGUGCGUCGUUAAGAGGUAAUCAUUUUAUGAUAAAACCUUCCCUUAGUUUCCAAUUAAUCUAAUUUCUAGGUCCCUGGACAACACUAUAUUUCUAAGGCAAGUAAAUUGGUAACAAUAGUCAUCAGUGUACCUUGAACUUUUUCCUUCCUAAACCUACACAGUACUAUGUAGAAUGUUAAUUCUACACCUGACUAUAUUCCAAAUCUUCUAAUUCAGAAAAAAUGAGAAACUGAAUCCUCUCACUAUCUCGAUUUCUCAUUUUAAUGUCCUAGAAGCUCCUCAAAGUCAAGAAAUUCUUGGAAUUUCUUGUAAUUAUUUCUGCAGUGAGUCCUCCCCCCUUCUUGGGGCCAAUUUGGUCUCGAUCUAUAAUAAAG
rnacentral:lncRNA from 1 species